AACACACAAAACAAGCGGUGAGUGCUUUGGGGUGGGGUGACUGCGUACCUUUUGUAUAAUGGGUCAGCGACUUAUAUUCUGUAGCAAGGUUAACCGUAUAGGGGAGCCGAAGGGAAACCGAGUCUUAACUGGGCGUUAAGUUGCAGGGUAUAGACCCGAAACCCGGUGAUCUAGCCAUGGGCAGGUUGAAGGUUGGGUAACACUAACUGGAGGACCGAACCGACUAAUGUUGAAAAAUUAGCGGAUGACUUGUGGCUGGGGGUGAAAGGCCAAUCAAACCGGGAGAUAGCUGGUUCUCCCCGAAAGCUAUUUAGGUAGCGCCUCGUGAACUCAUCUUCGGGGGUAGAGCACUGUUUCGGCUAGGGGGUCAUCCCGACUUACCAACCCGAUGCAAACUGCGAAUACCGAAGAAUGUUAUCACGGGAGACACACGGCGGGUGCUAACGUCCGUCGUGAAGAGGGAAACAACCCAGACCGCCAGCUAAGGUCCCAAAGUCACAGUUAAGUGGGAAACGAUGUGGGAAGGCUCAGACAGCCAGGAUGUUGGCUUAGAAGCAGCCAUCAUUUAAAGAAAGCGUAAUAGCUCACUGGUCGAGUCGGCCUGCGCGGAAGAUGUAACGGGGCUAAACUGUGCACCGAAGCUGCGGCAGCGACGCUUAUGCGUUGUUGGGUAGGGGAGCGUUCUGUAAGCCUGCGAAGGUGUCCUGUGAGGGAUGCUGGAGGUAUCAGAAGUGCGAAUGCUGACAUAAGUAACGAUAA
rnacentral:rRNA from 2 species